rnacentral:rRNA from 1 species
AUACGGAGGAUCCGAGCGUUAUCCGGAUUUAUUGGGUUUAAAGGGUGCGUAGGCGGUUUGCUAAGCGGGAGGUGAAAUGCCGGCGCUCAACGUCGGAAGUGCCUCCCGAACUGGUGGACUUGAAUGACUCUGCCGUGGGAGGAAUGUGUAGUGUAGCGGUGAAAUGCUUAGAGAUUACACAGAACACCGAUUGCGAAGGCAUCUCACGAAGGGUUGAUUGACGCUGAGGCACGAAAGCGUGGGGAUCAAACAGGAUUAGAUACCCUGGUAGUCCACGCAGUAAACGAUGAUGGCUAACCGCUGGUUUAUUCGGAUCAGUGGCCAAGCGAAAGCGAUAAGCCAUCCACCUGGGGAGUACGACCGCAAGGUUGAAACUCAAAUGAAUUGACGGGG